UCAUAUUUUCUUUUUUCAGGUUCAUAAACGCAAGGCGGAGAAUUGUACAACCAAUGAUAGACCAAUCGAACAGAGCAGUUUAUUCUCCGAUUUCAGUAUACACCCACCCUGGACCAUCGGCCGGUUAUCCGGAUGCGAUGAGCUAUAUGAUGGACGGCCAAGCGCAGAUGAUGCAUCGACCACCGGGUGACCCAACCUUCCAUCAAGGAUACCACUAUCCACCUGCGGAGUAUUAUCCUCACCAUUUGUAAUAAACGGCAACUAUUUAAGUGCCUAGUUUAGUUAAUUGUGUAAAGAAAACAAUCUCGCGCACAUCACAUACGAUUGGUUGAGAGGAGAAAUCCUAGAGACGACCGCUUCCCAGUGAACAUACCUACUUACUCUAUUUAAACAAUGAAAAACAAUGUGGCCAUCUAGAGGAACCAAAAAGCAAGGCAACAGGCAUGCAAAGAAUGUUGAACGUUCAAACGUAGUCCAAUAUCAUCAUCUUCAAAGCAACACAAACAAGCAAACAAGUGAGCUGCAUCGACAUUGGAAUCUGGUUGGCGACCAAAUAAAAAGAAUCGCAUCCAUCCCACACACCCACCACCUUCCCCUGACACAUACCGAGCUUCAUUCUACAUACCUAUGGUUGAUUGCAUUGGAUUAGUCCAGUGACUAUUUAUUAUGUGAGCCAUCCCUCUGUAUAAUGCUAUCGAAGCAUUUGUUUUCUUCUCAAAUUAUUUUUUUUUAUUUGUAUAAUUACAAUAUCAACCAAACACUUAUCUUAGUACCCUACUGAAUAUUUAUUUGUUAUGUUUAUGUAAAUAUUUUUUAUAAGUAAAUGCAUAUAAAUAUGUACAUCGUAUAACAUGUCACAAAACGCGUAGAAAAAUUAUUUAUAAAAAAACAGUAAAUGCAUACACAACAAACGGAAAUAUUGUAGGUUGAGCGCUACUUUGUAGGAGAUUUAGGUUUUGAUCUUGAACAAAGCUAACGCAUCCCAUCUUAAACCGAUAACAGUACGAUAUAACAACACGUAGCUCACAGUCGACCAACCGUAUAGUUUAAACUCAUUUUUUCAUUAUUAGUCACAAAUGAAUGGAUAAGUGCGUGUCAAAACAACAACCGAAUUGUUAUAUUCAUUCAAGCUAUUGUAACUUUGUUGAGUGUAAACUAAUCUUGAUAAAAACAAUGGGACUAAUAAAUAAGCCAAUGAUACUAUUGUUUCCAAACUAAUUUCAAAUGAACUAAACCGGUGCGAUGUUAGUCAGACGGUUAAACAAUAUUGUACACAUGACCAUCGAUUUCAAACCAUACUUGACAGUUGAUUCAUACAUAAAAGAUUUGGUGUGUGAAACUUUCCGAUAAAUUUGAAAGAUACUGGACCUGGCUCAUUUAUGUCCGGGCCUUUGCUGUCGAGUGUUCAAUACACAUUUUCUAAUCAGUUUUUUUUUAUUAUUAUUAUAGUCACUUUAACGCUCUUGAGUCAUUCGUGACUUGUCCGAGGGUGAGAUUUUAACUCGUGACUUUGGCGUUAGAGGUAUGAAUGCUAACCACUACGCCGGGGUCGCCCCUUUUUCUAAUCAGUACCAUCUGAUUAGAAUUUUCUAAAUUUUUAGCUCGGUCUUAGGAUUAGGAUUAGUGCAUUUAAAAAAAUGUUUGAGUCUUAAUGACAACGCACAUUGCAUUUAUAAGUGACAAAUUGCAGAAAGCAGUUAGACAAUAGAGUUAGCUAUAAUGUUGUCGCAACGUGUCACUAACGGGUGAAAUGUGCGUAGACCUUAACGACAGUAACGAUACCAAUUUGAAUGUAAAUUAGUAUGGAAAUAGUUAAGCCCUUGAUCAAAAGUACACGUUACAUUAUGCUCAUGCUCCGGAUAUGCUAUUUGAAUAAUUGUAUUUAUGAAUAUUGUUUGCUGAAAACAGCAGGUUGAUGCGAUUUUUCUAACAAUAACAAGAUUAGUUUUGUCCAUCAAGGAGAAACGGAUACUUUGAUGGCCACUAGAUUUAUCCUGGUUACCUUUGCUUUGUGAAUACUAUGUAUGUCAUCUAAAAAUCUCGUGUUAUUGUUCAAGGCACUCUUGAGAAUACGUAGGGUAAAUGUUGGCUUCGGCACCCAUUGACUGUUUUCGGCAACCAAAAUUUAAACGUUAAUUUCACUAUGUUUUCCCAUCAACGCACUUCCCUGAAUGUGUCCAAACGAUUGUUUAGCCUUUCAGCUUCAAUCUGAUUAUAUUUGAACGAUCGAGCAAUCCAGUAAUGCUACAUUUUUCUUCAAAUAAAGCAUACGCACUACAAAAUGGGGUUGAUUUCGAGUUGCCGAUAAUAGAACAGCUGGUUAACACGCAGUUCUAAUGGGAAGGUUGCCGAAGAAAAAGAGGCUGCCGACAAUAGACACACUCACCUGAGAAGUUUGGAGCGUUGUAAAAACGCUUUCAAAACGUUUUGAAAAAUUCUGUCGAUUGGAAUGGAUAGAGAAGCAAGCAGCAGAUGAAUGUAAACAAACAGACACAUCAUAUAUGUGCGUGACGCUGAGAAAAUGCUAGUAGAAAUGCAGACGCUGCUUAGAUUGACGAGAAUACGUAAAUUCCCCUAUGUAAUCUAAUGCGAUUUAACAUAAACUUUGCUUUCUACGGAAUUUCCAUACAUUCCCUUCCGUUCUUCAACAUUCGUUUUAAAGCACUGACACUGUAGAUUUAUUACAUGUUAUAAACCUAUCUUGCUAACAGUUUGCUUUUCGACAAUAAAUAUAACACUGUAGUCUGAACGAGGCAUAAAUCUUCACAAAGUUGGUUGAUUUUGAGACGGUAUCCAGUAGAAUGAUCUAGAAAGGCAGCAGGAAGGGAUUCUGGAAAAUUUUCAAAGGUUAAACAAUAUAACACAUUGGCUUGUAUAUUCGUCCUGAAAACAAAUUGUCACAGAAUAGUUAACAUACAACAGGUAUCGAACGCCUUGAACAACGGCUCUAUUGUUCUUUGAUGCGCGCUGUACUGUGUAUGUGUAAGGGGACCCAGGAAGCCACCAAUAAAUUAUAAUAAAAAGCAUUACCGACUGAAAAAGAUAAAAAAAAUUACUUCUCGUGCAAGUAAAUAAAACAAAUCAUAGUUAUUAUAAGCAGUAAGCCUACUCUGUAAUUGUUUACAAUAGACUUGAGGGAAAAACACAAAAUUCACUAAUUGAUUAGCAUCGUAAGGAUUGCUUUCCAUUUCAAAAAGGACUUGGUCUGACGAUGUAACAGUAUAUUUCACUGUUCAUGCUAAAAGAACAAAUGCUUUACAAAAAAAUUCUAAUGGAACUUGAUAUGUACCUACAGGGUCUUUGGAAAUACAAAAACAAGCAUAGAUACCACGAAUUGGUACUAGAGUUUCGUCGGAAACCAUAUCGUUUGUACGCUAAACAAUACAUCUGGAGCGUACCGUUUGUCAUGAUCCAAUGCAAUCGGUGGUAUUGUUGUAUUAUAAUUAUUUCUAAAACAAAACAAAAGAGUACUAAAAGAAAACAGAACACAAUCACUCAUGCAAUGUUGGAACGUAAACAAAUGAACAUGGUCCAUAAUCGUUAGAAAUUGAAAAGUGUGAUGUUAUUUUCGUUUUAUUUCAGUUGUUGAACGCUUUUUGACAUUUUAUUAUUUUCUUUACUUCCCAAAGCUUCUUAGCCGAAACUACAUUGGUGUUCACAAACUAUCAAAGCAGAAACACAACAGACAAACAAACUUUCACGAAUAUGUGUGUAUAGAAUGUUGAAACAACAAUGUGACAUGCGUUAGCUCUGCACAAUGCAUAUACAUACAGAAACACAUUAUUAGUUAAGAUAUCACUUUUUAAAUUAAUUAGUUUUAAACACCUGUACCAUUGCGCAUAUUAUGAAUUUAUUUAGCAAAGAACCACUUCCUAUAAUUUUAUUGAUUUUUAUUUUUGAAAAAUCAAUCUAAAGUGAUGUACAUUAAGUAGAGAGCAAAAGAAAAUUUCUUUUAGAUUUUUUUAAUUGUACGUGUAAAAUCAGUUAAAUACAAAUAUUGAGCAAAUUUUUGUUUUGCUACCGAGAAAUAAAACAAAAAUUCAAUGAAAUUGCUGUAAGGUCUCGUUAUAUUGAAAAAUUAAAUGUUAAGGGUAAACAUUUACAACAAAAUCACACUCAUGCAAAAAAAAAUAAGAACUGUAAUAAUUAGAACGAUUGAUGAAUUAACGCAAAUUAUAUCAUUAUUUCCAAACGUA